rnacentral:lncRNA from 1 species
CAAUUCAUUUUAUAGUUAACUUAUAUGCAUAAUUCUAGCACUAGUAUAAAAGAUAAAUUUGUUGAUGUUGAUAUAAUAACUUGAUAUAUUGUUGAAGGUAGCUAAAUAGUGUAAAGUUAGAUUUUAUAAACAAAAAAACUGCUCUUGUUCAUAGAGGUUUCUUGUAUAAAUAAAAUAGAAUUUGAAUAAGAAUAGUAAUUUAUAAAUCAAAGGAAGAAAGUUAGAAGUAUAUUAGCUCUUUGUCUACAUGAAAAUUAGAAAAAUUAAAUAAAUAUACUAUACA